rnacentral:lncRNA from 1 species
CCUUCUUCUGCAAGUCUAAUACUUUCACACAAAAACCCUAAUUCUAGCUCACUCUCCCCAAUUUGAAUAACUAAACAUAAAAAAGACUUCAUCUUGAACAUUUUUACCCAAAACCCAUAUCCUAAUCCCUGUGAUUUCUGCUUCAAAACCAUUAAAAGCCCAAGCCUUUUGUUCUUGAACCCAGAACCCAGUUGCAAGGCAAUGGUUUCAAAACGGUGCCGUCUUCUCCGCUCAUCAAGUCAGGGUGAGACAGGGUUGUACACCCA